GGCAAGGGAAGUGGACCGGGCUGGGGCCAUGUCUCUCCGCUUCCCGCCGCCGGUGAGUGCGGGGGGCCGAUCCUUUCCCCGCACUCACUGGUCCCAGGAAGCAGAGUGUCGCGGCUGGGAGCUGGUGGAGUAGGGCGGGCUGGGGCCAGGUUGCUCCGUUUCCCGCCGCUGCUGGUACUUGCUCAUGUCCAUUCCAAUAGGUGACUCCCAAGCCGUUUCAACGGAGGAGGGAUCGGAGUUCACUGAGUUGCUGACUGAAGUACUGCCCUGCCGAAGGCCGCAUCGUCUCUCGCCUGUUGAGUGAUGGCAUAGUGUGACAUGAAGAUGUGGAUGGAAGACCAUGUUGCUGCCUUGCAUAUGUCCUGAAUAGGGACUUGUGUGAGGAAUGCUGCAGAAGAAGCCUGCGCUAUUGUGGAGAGCGCCAUCAAUGCUGGGGUUGGAAUCUUAGGCAGGUCGUAGCAUGUUCUGAUGCAGGACGUGAUCCACGCCGAAAUGCACUGAGAUGAGAUGGGAAGCCCUUUUAUCCUUUCGGCGAUUGCAAUAAAGAGUUGUGGUGACUUACAAAACGGCUUUGUGCAUUCAGUGUAGAAGGCUAGGGCAUGCCUGACAUCCAGAGAAUGGAGUACUCGCUCUCUGUUGCUGGCAUGAGGUUUAGGAAAGAAUACUGGUAGAAAUAUGUCCUAGUUUACAUGAAAGUGUGAGACUACCUUGGGUAGGAAUGCUGGGUGAGGGCAUAGUUGCACCUUGUAUUUAUAAAAACCCUUGGGGAGGGAGCUUGGAAGUCAGCACUCUGAGUUCAGAGACUCUUCUGUCUGAACCCUAAAGCUAUGGCCACCAGAAAAGCCACCUUCCAGGACAGGUAGGAUAGAGGGUAGGUUGCUAAGGCUCAAAGGGGGGCCCCAUAAGUCUGGAGAGAACUAGGUUGAGAUCCCACUGGGGAAUGGGCUGCCACAGCUGCGGAUAAAGCCUGUCCAAGCCCUUGAAAAACUGACCAACCAUGGGGUUUCCAAAGACUGACCUACCUGCUACACCUGAGUGGAAGGCCAAGAUGGCAGCCAGGUGCACCUUAAUAGAUGAUAUCUCCAACCUCUGUUGCUUCAGAUACAGAAGGUAGUCUAGCAGAAGGAGAAUAGAGGCUUUCUGCGGGGAGGUACCUUUCUGUAGGGACCAAAUGGAGAAACGCUUCCACUUCACCAGGUACGUUGUACAAGUGGAGAGCUUCCUGCUCCCCAAUAGGACUUUCCUAACAGGGUCUGAAUACUGUAGUUCAAGCGUUAAACGUUAAAGCGAAUACUGUAGUUCAAGCGGGUUCAGCCAUGGAGUUUCCACGUCAUGAGGUGGAGGGACUCCAGGUUGGGGUGCUGUAGUUGACCGUGGUCCUGCGUGAUGAGGUCCGCGAGCAUAGGAAGGGCUAUUGGCCUAGCCACUGAUAGGUUCAGCAACAAGGUGAACCAGAGCUGGCAGUGCCACGCUGGUGCUAUGAGGAUCACCAAAGCCCUGAGCAGCUGGACCUUGAGGAGGAUCUUGUGUAUGAGAGGGAAGGGCGGGAAUGCAUAUAGCAAGUGACCCAUCCACGGGAGGUGAAAAGCGUCUGCUAUGGAGACGUGGCUGUGGUUCUGAAAGGAGCAGAACAGCUGACACUUUCUGUUGCUCUGCGUCGCAAACAGGUCCAUGUGGGGAUAGCCCCACCUCUGGAGGAUGGAAAGGGUAAUGUCCGCUCUGAGUGAGCACUCGUGAGUGUUGAACAAGCAGCUGAGGUGGUCCACUAGUUCGUUUUGUGCUCCCGGCAGAUAUGAGGCCUGCAGCUGGAUGGAGUGUGCGAUGCAGAAGUCCCACAGUCGGAGAGCUUCCUAGCACAGAGGAGAAGAGCGAGCACCACUCUGUUUGUUCAUAUAGAACAUCGCUGUGGUGUUGUCCGUCAUCACUGAGACACAUUUGCCCUGAAGAUGGGCCUGGAACGUCUGGAAAGCCAGGCAAACAGCUCUCAGCUUUCUGACAUUGAUAUGCAGCGAUAGUUCUGGUUGUGACCACAGGCCUUGAGUUCUGAUACUGCCCAGGUGCGCUCCCCAGCCCAUCUCUGAUGUGUCCAUGACCAGCGACAGUGAGGGCUGAGGUUUGGCAAAGGGCACUCCCACACAGACCAUCUGAGGUUGUAGCCACCAGCUGAGGGACUCAAGAAUCGGGGGCAGGAGGGUAACCAAUCUGUCCUGAGGGCCCUAGCUGGGUCUGUAUACCUUCGCCAACCAAGCCUGGAGGGGGUGAAGGCGCAAUCUGGUUCCUGAACUCCGGAGAAAGACUGUGGAGGACCCCUCCUGUUGUUUCUGCCCCCCGUCGAUUAUAGUCCUGCCUAAGGGGCCCUGAAUAGAAGCAUGAGGGGGGAUGGGGCUUGAAGGGCUUUUUCUGGGGUGCUGGCAUGUGAAUUCCCAGAGGCUUGAGGGUUGCUUGUGAGUCCUUCACACUGUGCAGUCUUGAGUCCAUCUUGUCAGCGAACAGCCCUGCAUCGUCAAAUGGAAGCUCCCGUAUUGUAUUCUGGACCUCCGCUGGGAGUCCCGAGACGUGUAGCCAUGAGCUACAUCUCAUUGUAAUGGCCGUAGCCAUAGUCUGGGACUAUAUAGGAGAAGGAGAAAGGGUGCAAGAUGUUAUCCAUUAUGCAUGUGGCAUUCUGCCAUCAGGAGUGUCUACUGAAAAGUGGAUCCCAACUAUCUAGACUGGACAAGCACUGAAAGGAUUGACCAUUACGAGAGAAAUACCUUAUUACAUUGGACAUGAAUUUAAUAAGCAGGCUCUAGAUUGUAUUUUAUAUUUUUUAUUUUAUUUGUAGCUUGGUGUUUCCAAUCAUUUUACUUACAUCUAUUUUGGAUAAUUUUCUUAAACUGAAUUAAAUAAACUUAUAUUUAGCUUUACUAUAGACACGUCCAAGUGCCUUGCACUAAAGAGAGUGUUGAACUGAAGAGAGAGUGGUGAGCUGGGACACACAGAGACAGCAGAUCGGUGUACAUUGUGGGUGCCAGGAGGAAAAGGGAUUGGGCACUGAAGUGUAACAAGAUUAGUCCGCUCUGAUUAAACUUUAGAAAUGGCGACGGUAAAACACAGAAUGCAGUGAAAGGAAGAUGGUGUGUCAGGAAAUCUGAUUGGUCCGAUUUUGCUGCAGAGUUCUAAUUCCUGAAACAAAGGUAAAGAGUUUGGGAAAAGACCCGGCAAAGCACCACAGCAGAGUGCAGACUGAGUGAUAACAUCCUGGCUCACCUUGGGGGCAUGAAGCGUAUCUCGUGACUGAUCUAGGAAGAGAUCCGUGAUGGUUUU